GUCUAAAUUAAUAUUAAAGUAUUCAUAGAGUAAUAUGUUAACAUAUUUUCUCAUUUUCUUUCCACUAAUCUGUGAGAUAGAUAUGGAACAGGAAUUAAAACAAAAUUUCCAUUUUACAAAGGAAGAAAGUGAAGUUCUGAGAAGAUAAAAGACUUGCCCACCACCACCCAGCAAGUAAGCAAGACCAAGAUCAAAACCCAGUUCUUCCAUACUUUCUAUUCUCAAGAAGUAAGAAACCUAAGGGACAAGCUAAUGUACAAGAUGAAGCACUCUUGGGUGUGCCUAGGGGGUUUCUGAAGUCAUCAACAUUCUGCAAAAUUCUGUGUCAAACAGCCAUGGAAAAGCUUCUCAGAGCAGAGCAGGAUGCCAGCAUCCUCACAGAAACCAAGGUGGCCCUGAGAUUAUCUCCCGGGACUAAAGUUCUUGGCCAAACAGCAUAAGAAAUCUGUAUGGAGAGAGAUGAGCAGCUGACACCAAAACCAGAUCUGUAGUCUAGUCUGAAUGAUGUCACUUGUCAAAGGAAUAACCAGAGACAGAAGCAUUUAAGAAAUAAAUUAGAG
rnacentral:lncRNA from 1 species